rnacentral:tRNA from 1 species
GCGCCCGUAGCUCAAUGGAUAGAGUACUUGGCUUCGAACCAAGGGGUUGGGGGUUCGACUCCCUCCGGGCGCA